rnacentral:rRNA from 1 species
AUACGGAGGGAGCUAGCGUUGUUCGGAAUUACUGGGCGUAAAGCGCACGUAGGUGGAUUGGUUAGUUGGGGGUGAAAUCCCAGGGCUCAACCCUGGAACUGCCUUCAAUACUGCCGGUCUUGAGUUCGCGAGAGGUGAGUGGAAUUCCUAGUGUAGAGGUGAAAUUCGUAGAUAUUAGGAAGAACACCAGUGGCGAAGGCGGCUCACUGGCUCGAUACUGACGCUGAGGUGCGAAAGCGUGGGGAGCAAACAGGAUUAGAAACCCCAGUAGUCC